UUCGCUUCUGAUGAAAACCUUGCUUCUGAUUACCUUCUGCUUCUGAUGACGUCAUCACUUCAGAUGCACUUCAGCUUCAGACGCAGUUUUCUUCAGAUGCUUAGAAUUUCUUUUUCUUUCCAUUGUUCUUCCAAGACCUAUUGAAAUAACUUGAGUAGCCUUUGGUCCUGUACACUUGAACAAUUAUUAGCAAUAACCAAUUGACAAUUUUUUAUACCUUGUU
rnacentral:lncRNA from 1 species